rnacentral:rRNA from 1 species
CCUACGGGCGGCAGCAGUGAGGAAUAUUGGUCAAUGGACGAGAGUCUGAACCAGCCAAGUAGCGUGAAGGAUGACUGCCCUAUGGGUUGUAAACUUCUUUUAUAUGGGAAUAAAACGUUCCACGUGUGGGAUUUUGUAUGUACCAUAUGAAUAAGGAUCGGCUAACUCCGUGCCAGCAGCCGCGGUAAUACGGAGGAGCCGAGCGUUAUCCGGAUUUAUUGGGUUUAAAGGGAGCGUAGGUGGAUUGUUAAGUCAGUUGUGAAAGUUUGCGGCUCAACCGUAAAAUUGCAGUUGAAACUGGCAGUCUUGAGUACAGUAGAGGUGGGCGGAAUUCGUGGUGUAGCGGUGAAAUGCUUAGAUAUCACGAAGAACUCCGAUUGCGAAGGCAGUUCACUGGACUGCAACUGACACUGAGGCUCGAAAGUGUGGGUAUCAAACAGGAUUAGAUACCCUAGUAGUC